rnacentral:rRNA from 1 species
AUGGUUUUGAGUAAUAUGCACACAACUUUUCCAUUGGUUUACCACCUUGUUGAGUUAGCAUUAAUAUUACCUGUUGCAACCGCAACAGUGGAAACGGCCUUCUCAGCAAUGAGCAUUAUCAAGACCGACUUGAGGAACAGGAUGGGUGACGAUUAGUUGAAUCACGGAAUGGUAUGUUACAUUGAGCGAGAUGUAUUUUUUAGUAUUGAAGAGUCAAAGAUCAUUGAGCGAUUUCAGGGUUAUCACACACGCAAAGGCAUUUUACCUCGUCCUAUAGGUUGUUUCAUAUUUUGCAUCGAGUAG